CCUACGGGAGGCAGCAGUGGGGGAUAUUGCACAAUGGGGGAAACCCUGAUGCAGCGACGCCGCGUGAGUGAAGAAGUAUUUCGGUGUGUAAAGCUCUAUCAGCAGGGAAGAAGAUGACGGUACCUGACUAAGAAGCCCCGGCUAACUACGUGCCAGCAGCCGCGGUAAUACGGAGGGGGCAAGCGUUAUCCGGAUUUACUGGGUGUAAAGGGAGCGUAGACGGCAGAUCAAGUCUGGAGUGAAAUGCCGGGGCUCAACCCCCGAACUGCUUUGGAAACUGUGCGGCUGGAGUGCAGGAGAGGUAAGUGGAAUUCCUAGUGUAGCGGUGAAAUGCGUAGAUAUUAGGAGGAACACCAGUGGCGAAGGCGGCUUACUGGACUGUAACUGACGUUGAGGCUCGAAAGCGUGGGGAGCAAACAGGAUUAGAUACCCUUGUAGUC
rnacentral:rRNA from 1 species